rnacentral:lncRNA from 1 species
CCCAACUUUGUUAUCAAAUUCACACAAUUAUUUGAUACAUGGCCAACAAAAAUCAUACCAAAGGUAGAUUGAAUGAAAACUAAUAAUCUUUCUUCAGUAACAACAGAAAAGGUUUUAUUAAAAUUUUGUUCUCAGAUUCCUACGUACCUUUUUUCCUUCAAAAUCUUACUGUUUACUAUAUCUUACUAACAUUAAAUUGAACAUGAAAACUAAUAAUCUUUCUUCAGUAACAACAGAAAAGGUUUUAUUAAAAUUUUGUUCUCAGAUUCCUAUGUCCCCUUUUUCCUUCAAAAUCUUACUGUUUACUAUAUCUUACUAACAUUAAAUUGAACAUGAAAG